rnacentral:rRNA from 1 species
UACGGAGGGUGCAAACGUUGUCCGGAAUCACUGGGCGUAAAGCGCAUGUAGGUGGUUCUGUAAGUGAACGAUUAAAGACCGAUGCUUAACAUCGGGAAGGUUGUUCAUACUGCAGAACUCGAGUGUGGCAGGGGUAAGCGGAACUUUAGGUGUAGGAGUGAAAUCCGUAGAUAUCUAAAGGAACACCAAUGGCGAAGGCAGCUUACUGGGCCAUUACUGACACUCAGAUGCGAAAGCGUGGGGAGCAAACAAG